UGGUGGAGUGAUUUGUCUGCUUAAUUGCGAUAACGAACGAGACCUUAACCUACUAAAUAGCCCGCCUUGCUUUGGCAGGGUGCUGGCUGCUUAGAGGGACUAUCGGCUCAAGCCGAUGGAAGUUUGAGGCAAUAACA
rnacentral:rRNA from 1 species